rnacentral:rRNA from 1 species
GACGAACGCUGGCGGCGUGCCUAACACAUGCAAGUCGAGCGAGUGGAGUUCUUCGGAACAAAGCUAGCGGCGGACGGGUGAGUAACACGUGGGCAACCUGCCUCAUAGAGGGGAAUAGCCUCCCGAAAGGGAGAUUAAUACCGCAUAAGAUUGCAGCUUCGCAUGAAGUAGCAAUUAAAGGAGCAAUCCGCUAUGAGAUGGGCCCGCGGCGCAUUAGCUAGUUGGUGAGGUAACGGCUCACCAAGGCGACGAUGCGUAGCCGACCUGAGAGGGUGAUCGGCCACAUUGGGACUGAGACACGGCCCAGACUCCUACGGGAGCAGCAGUGGGGAAUAUUGCACAAUGGGGGAAACCCUGAUGCAGCAACGCCGCGUGAGUGAUGACGGCCUGGUGUAAG